UUAGAGUUUGAUCCUGGCUCAGAUUGAACGCUGGCGGCAUGCCUUACACAUGCAAGUCGAACGCGAAAGUGGGGGCAACCCUGCGAGUAGAGUGGCGAACGGGUGAGUAAUACAUCGGAACGUACCCAGGAGUGGGGGACAACCUCGAGAAAUCGAGGCUAAUACCGCAUACGUCCUGAGGGAGAAAGCGGGGGAUUCGCAAGGACCUCGCGCUCAUGGAGCGGCCGAUGUCGGAUUAGCUAGUUGGCGGGGUAAAGGCCCACCAAGGCGACGAUCCGUAGCUGGUUUGAGAGAACGACCAGCCACACUGGGACUGAGACACGGCCCAGACUCCUACGGGAGGCAGCAGUGGGGAAUUUUGGACAAUGGGGGCAACCCUGAUCCAGCCAUGCCGCGUGAGUGAAGAAGGCCUUCGGGUUGUAAAGCUCUUUCGGCCGGAACGAAAUCGCGUACGUGAAUAACGUGCGUGGAUGACGGUACUGGAAGAAGAAGCACCGGCUAACUACGUGCCAGCAGCCGCGGUAAUAC
rnacentral:rRNA from 1 species